GGGCCCUUAGCUCAGUUGGUUAGAGCAGUCGACUCAUAAUCGAUCGGUCGCUGGUUCGAGUNNNNGAAAACACCCCUUCACUCCGGAUUGAAAUAGUCGGGAAUCCCGGGUACCGCUGGUGCACAUAACGGCCGGAUUCGGCGGGAUUCGGUUCGAGUCCAGCAGGGCCCACCA
rnacentral:tRNA from 1 species